GAACGCAUCUGCCUCCUCUCCUCGACCCUGGCGUGUGCCCAGGCCAGAGCGAUUCCCCCAAGCCGCCGACACACCUCAACCCACUCGCCGCCGACGCCGCCGCACCUCAGCCGGCUGGCCGCCCCGCCGCACCAACCUUACCACCUCCGUCUCCUUCCACGACUGGCUCGACACCGCCCCCUCCAAUGGAUGCGGUCCCCGGCCCUCAUCGAUUUAGACUUCACCCCUUCCUCUAGAUGCCCAAGGUGAAGCCGACCCCGACCCCGAUGCCUCUGCCUCGAAGUCUACCCCCGGACCCUCUCCCGGCGAGAUCAAGUGUAGCGUUGUGCAGGAAUUCGGCUGCGGAUCUGAGCAUUAAGAGCCGCUGCCAGGCCACCCCGCGUGCCGCUGAUCCCGUGUGUCGUCGCUCGAAGCUCCCCUACUCGCUUCCCUUCAUGCACCGCUGUACUGGCCUAGCAAAUUAACAUAGGCGGUGUGUUGCAGCGCAAGCACCUCAUGGUGCACCUGCCCUCUCCUUUGACGCAUGGAUAGUUGCGAGCUUGUGACUGCGAUGAGUAGUGCUGAGGACUUAGUUUGGGCGGGCUCCUCGAGAAUACCCGUCUUGCGAAGGCGCGAGAUCAAGCGACGGAGGGCUGAGGCCCGCCGGGAGCUGACGGUGGAGUUGAGUAUCCACUCAUCAAUUCCCGAUGUGCUCAAGUGAAGUCAAAGAUACGAUCCAUCCAUCCCACAGUGGAUGAAUCAACAGAGGAUACAACCGCUCCAACGAGUUAAUUUAGGAUUGAUUAAUUAGCAUGAGCAGAGGAAAUCUUGUGCACAUGUAGUUUAGGUAUAUACAGGUUCAAGUAGUCAACUCUUAAUUCACCCAAACGUUAAGUUUGUUAUCCACAGUUUCUUCUGAAGUUAAGCAUCAGUGGCAUCACAAGUGAGCUUUCUCAUUUAAUCCAAAAGACCCAUCAAGUUGUAAGAUAACAACUGUGAACAUGACAUAUCUGAAAGCAGAUGACAACA